CUGCUCUCUUUCUGUGUGUGUGUGUGUGUGUGUGUGUGAAGGAGCCAGAGAAACACACUUGUGUAGACAGAUGUGGAGUUUGCCAGUAGGUGGAGCCCUAGUGCUUUCUCUCUCUCUCUCUCUCUCUCUCGCAAACACACACACACACCGUCACACACUCUCAGUUCUCCAUCUUUCUCUUUCUCAGUCUCUGUCUUUCUCUCUCUUCAUUUGUCUUUCUUUUUUCACUUGCUUUGUCGCUGUCUUCAAGUCUUAUUUCUCUAUCUGUGUCUGUCUCUCUUUCCUUAUGUCUCUUUCUCUCUGUCUCUAUCACUUCAUCACAGUGUUUAAUUCACUUAAUCAUGUCAUUUUAAAAAAAGUGUGUUGGGAUGUAGUUGUGUGUGUGUGUCCUACAGGUACACACACAUACACACUGUGAAUUGUGGAUUUAACACUUUCAUAAUUACUAUUUACACACGUCUUAAUAGCUGAGUGUAUUUAACACACUGACGCUCACAGUUUAACACGUCCUUAGUCAUUCAGGUGUGUGUGUGUGUGUGUGUGUGUGCGCGAUCUCACUGUUCCUCCGUGUGUGAAGGUGAACACAGUGGUUCUAACAUACAGCUGUGGUUCUGUCCCAUUUACUGUUAGAUUCAUAAAAAUGCAAUAAAAAAUCAAGACAGAAAAGAAAAACUGUACAAGCCACACCCACACAAGGCAGCCAUAGCAGUCAGGCCACACCCACAAGAGUCAACCGUUUUGUAUUGGCCAUGCCCACUGUAGACGUGUGAAUGGCAGGUAACAUUGCUGUCAUUAGGGAUAAGGAGACAGCUGUGAUGGUGGGAGGAGACAGACAGAAGAGUGACGAGGUGAGAUGGUAGACUUGUCUGCUUUUUAAGUUCCUGCCGGAGUUUUUAGUGCAGAUUGAUGUCAUUACUGGAUUCUGUUUAAGGGGUCAUAACCCCGAGUGUCACUCCUGGGAGAACCUCCUUCUCCUCCUCCUCUCUGUUCAGAUUCUCUGCUUCCUGUUUUCAUUUCUGUCAUUUGGCAAACGUUCUUAUCCAGGCGACGUACAAAAGUGCUUUAAAGUCUGUAUCACUGAAAAUAUUAACACUGGGUCAGUAGGUCACAGACUCAGGAGAGCAUCCACAUAAACACUGAGGGGUUUUUUAAAUAUACAUAUACAACAUAUAACAAUGCAUAAAAACAGGUAAAAAUAAUAAGUGUUUCAGGAAGAGGUAGGUCGUCAGGUGAAGACGGUCAGUGACUCGGCUGUUCGGACAUCUGGGGGAAGUUCACUCCACCACCUCGGUGCAGAGAAGAGUCUGUAUGUAGACCUACCUCUGACCCUGAGAGAUGGUGGACCAGUCCAGCUGUGCUAGUGGACCUGAGGGAGCGAGGCUUCAGGAAGCCAGUGGAGGAGCAGCAGUGGGGUGGUGUGGGAGAACUUAGACUACAUGAAGACAAGUCACAAGGCUGCAUUUUGGAUCAUUUGCAGUGGACAAACUGCAUUCAGAGGAAGACCUGCCAGUAGAGAGCUGCAGAGAAGUCCAGUCUCCAAAUGACCAGAGACUGAACAAGCACCUGAGCAUCCUGUGUGGAUAGAAAUGGUCAAAUCCUUCUGAUGUUCUUCUGAUCUGAAACCGACAUGAGCGCAUCACAU